rnacentral:rRNA from 1 species
GGUAAGGAUUGACGGACUGAAGGCUCUUUCUCGAUUCCGUGGAAAGUGGUGCAUGGCCGUUUUUGGUUGGUGGAUCGAUCCGUCUGGUUAAUUCCGUUAACGAACGAGACCUCGGCACUCCGAAUAGCGCGGCGGACGUCGCGGCCUCCGGGCCGUCUUCCGCACGAGCUUCUUAGAGGGACCGUCCCCCGCCGGGGAAGGAGGUGCGAGGCAACGACAGGUCUGUGAUGCCCUUAGAUGUUCUGGGCCGCACGCGCAUUACACUGACGCGUCCAACGGGUGACUCCCGACCCGAAGGGGCCGGGGAAUCCGCAAGGCGCGUCGUGAUGGGGAUUGAACGUUGCAAUUGUUGUUCACGAACGAGGAAUUCCUAGUAGGCGCGGGUCAUCAACCCGCGCCGAUUACGUCCCUG